UGACGAGCUUGCUCUGAUUUGAUUUUAUCUGACAAAGAGUGGCGAACGGGUGAGUAACACGUGGGUAACCUACCUCUUAGCAGGGGAUAACAUUUGGAAACAAGUGCUAAUACCGUAUAAUACCAACAACCGCAUGGUUGUUGGUUGAAAGAUGGUUCUGCUAUCACUAAGAGAUGGACCCGCGGUGCAUUAGCUAGUUGGUAAGGUAACGGCUUACCAAGGCAAUGAUGCAUAGCCGAGUUGAGAGACUGAUCGGCCACAAUGGGACUGAGACACGGCCCAUACUCCUACGGGAGGCAGCAGUAGGGAAUCUUCCACAAUGGGCGCAAGCCUGAUGGAGCAACGCCGCGUGUGUGAUGAAGGGUUUCGGCUCGUAAAACACUGUUAUAAGAGAAGAACGGCACUGAGAGUAACUGUUCAGUGUGUGACGGUAUCUUACCAGAAAGGAACGGCUAAAUACGUGCCAGCAGCCGCGGUAAUACGUAUGUUCCAAGCGUUAUCCGGAUUUAUUGGGCGUAAAGCGAGCGCAGACGGUUAUUUAAGUCUGAAGUGAAAGCCCUCAGCUCAACUGAGGAAUGGCUUUGGAAACUGGAUGACUUGAGUGCAGUAGAGGAAAGUGGAACUCCAUGUGUAGCGGUGAAAUG
rnacentral:rRNA from 1 species